AAGUCGUAACAAGGUUUCCGUAGGUGAACCUGCGGAAGGAUCAUUACCGAAGUCAAGGCCCCUUCGGGGGCUAAACUUCCACCCUUUGUUUACCUUACCAUUGUUGCUUUGGCGGGCCGCCUUAGGCCACCGGCUCUCGAGCUGGUGCGUGCCCGCCAGAGACCCCCAAACCCAAACCAUAUUCAGUGUCGUCUGAAAACAAGUUUAAAUUAUUUAAAACUUUCAACAACGGAUCUCUUGGCUCUG
rnacentral:misc_RNA from 1 species